GACGAACGCUGGCGGCGUGCUCAACACAUGCAAGUCGAACGGUAAGGCCCUUCGGGGUACACGAGUGGCGAACGGGUGAGUAACACGUGGGUGAUCUGCCCUGCACUUCGGGAUAAGCCUGGGAAACUGGGUCUAAUACCGGAUAGGACUCCUGGCUUCAUGGUUGGGGGUGGAAAGCUUUUGCGGUGUGGGAUGGGCCCGCGGCCUAUCAGCUUGUUGGUGGGGUAAUGGCCUACCAAGGCGACGACGGGUAGCCGGCCUGAGAGGGUGACCGGUCACACUGGGACUGAGAUACGGCCCAGACUCCUACGGGAGGCAGCAGUGGGGAAUAUUGCACAAUGGGCGCAAGCCUGAUGCAGCGACGCCGCGUGAGGGAUGACGGCCUUCGGGUUGUAAACCUCUUUCAGCCAUGACGAAGCGCAAGUGACGGUAGUAGCAGAAGAAGGACCGGCCAACUACGUGCCAGCAGCCGCGGUAA
rnacentral:rRNA from 1 species